rnacentral:rRNA from 1 species
AUUGAACGCUGGCGGCAUGCCUAACACAUGCAAGUCGAACGAGUGGCGGACGGGUGAGUAAUGUCUGGGAAAUUGCCCGCUGGAGGGGGAUAACUACUGGAACCGGUAGCUAAUACCGCAUACCAUCGGAUGUGCCCAGAUGUGAUUAGCUUGAUGGUGGGGUAAAGGCUCACCUAGGCGACGAUCCCUAGCUGGUCUGAGAGGAUGACCAGCCAUACUGGAACUGAGACACGGCCCAGACUCCUACGGGAGGCAGCAGUGGGGAAUAUUGGACAAUGGGCGCAAGCCUGAUGCAGCCAUGCCGCGUGUAUGAAGAAGGCCUUCGGGUUGUAAAGUACUUUCAGCGGGGAGGCGGUACCCGAAGAAGAAGCACCGGCUAACUCCGUGCCAGCAGCCGCGGUAAUAC